AACGAACGCUGGCGGCAUGCCUAACACAUGCAAGUCGAACGAGUACCUUCGGGUGCUAGUGGCGCACGGGUGAGUAACGCGUGGGAACCUGCCUUUCGGUACGGGAUAACGUCGGGAAACUGACGCUAAUACCGUAUAUGUCUUUGGAUGAAAGAUUUAUCGCCGGAAGAGGGGCCCGCGUCUGAUUAGGUAGUUGGUGAGGUAACGGCUCACCAAGCCUUCGAUCAGUAGCUGGUCUGAGAGGAUGAUCAGCCACACUGGGACUGAGACACGGCCCAGACUCCUACGGGAGGCAGCAGUGGGGAAUAUUGGACAAUGGGCGCAAGCCUGAUCCAGCAAUGCCGCGUGAGUGAUGAAGGCCUUCGGGUUGUAAAGCUCUUUUGCCUGCGACGAUGAUGACGGUAGCAGGAGAAUAAGCCCCGGCUAACUUCGUGCCAGCCGCCGCGGUAA
rnacentral:rRNA from 1 species